GAACGUUCUCGGGGCGGGGUGAAAUUCCCCACCGGCGGUAAUCGCGCGAUUGCGCGUAGCCCGCGAGCGCUUGCCGGCACGCAUGUGCCCGGCAAGGUCAGCAGACCCGGUUGGAUUCCGGGGCCGACGGUCAAAGUCCGGAUGAGAGAGAGCGGGG
rnacentral:ncRNA from 17 species